rnacentral:misc_RNA from 1 species
CAAUGAAGUGUUCAAUGGCACUUUAAAUCCAUUACCCACCUUGUGUGCAUUGUCAGGAGGAAGAUCCCUUGGGAUUUUUCUCUUUUUCAUUCCACUCUUUUUUUUUUAACAUCAGUCUACAUCAAUUGAGAAUUAAAAAUCUCUAAUA